UACGGAGGGUGCAAGCGUUGUUCGGAUUUACUGGGCGUAAAGUGUGUCUAGGUGGGAAUAUAUGUCAGGUGUGAAAGACCCGGGCUCAACCCGGGAAAUGCGCCUGAAACUGUAUUUCUUGAGUCAUGGAGAGGUGGGCAGAAUACCUAGUGUAGCAGUGAAGUGCGUAGAUAUUAGGUAGAACACCGGAGGCGAAGGCGGCUCGCUGGCCAUGUACUGACACUGAAGCACGAAAGCGUGGGGAGCAAACAGG
rnacentral:rRNA from 1 species